GAUGAACGCUGGCGGCGUGCCUAAUACAUGCAAGUAGAACGCUGAAGGAAGGAGCUUGCUCUUUCCGGAUGAGUUGCGAACGGGUGAGUAACGCGUAGGUAACCUGCCUGGUAGCGGGGGAUAACUAUUGGAAACGAUAGCUAAUACCGCAUAACAGUAGAUGUUGCAUGACAACUAUUUGAAAGGGGCAAUUGCUCCACUACCAGAUGGACCUGCGUUGUAUUAGCUAGUUGGUGAGGUAACGGCUCACCAAGGCGACGAUACAUAGCCGACCUGAGAGGGUGAUCGGCCACACUGGGACUGAGACACGGCCCAGACUCCUACGGGAGGCAGCAGUAGGGAAUCUUCGGCAAUGGACGGAAGUCUAACCGAGCAACGCCGCGUGAGUGAAGAAGGUUUUCGGAUCGUAAAGCUCUGUUGUAAGAGAAGAACGAGUGUGAGAGUGGAAAGUUCACACUGUGACGGUAUCUUACCAGAAAGGGACGGCUAACUACGUG
rnacentral:rRNA from 1 species